GAUGAACGCUGGCGGCGUGCUUAACACAUGCAAGUCGAACGAAGACAUCUGAGUGCUUGCACUUGGAUGGACUGAGUGGCGGACGGGUGAGUAACGCGUGGGUAACCUGCCCUAUACAGGGGGAUAACAGUUGGAAACGACUGCUAAUACCGCAUAAGCGCACGGUAUCGCAUGAUACAGUGUGAAAAACUCCGGUGGUAUAAGAUGGACCCGCGUCUGAUUAGCCAGUUGGCGGGGUAACGGCCCACCAAAGCGACGAUCAGUAGCCGACCUGAGAGGGUGACCGGCCACAUUGGGACUGAGACACGGCCCAAAACUCCUACGGGAGGCAGCAGUGGGGAAUAUUGCACAAUGGGGGAAACCCUGAUGCAGCGACGCCGCGUGAGCGAAGAAGUAUUUCGGUAUGUAAAGCUCUAUCAGCAGGGAAGAAAAAAAUGAACGGUACCUGACUAAGAAGCCCCGGCUAACUACGUG
rnacentral:rRNA from 1 species